rnacentral:rRNA from 1 species
AUGCUACCCCCUUUUCCAGUUGAUACCAAUGCAUACAUAUGUAGUGUAGCUCCUUGCUUGCGAGUACUUUGGAUGAGUACUCACGGUUGCUUUGCUCCCUCUUUUCCCCUUUCUAUCCCCGAUUGCUGUGACGAGACGAUGGAGCCUAGGAGCCAGACGCCACCGUCAACGACGACUCCUACUACGCUGGAGGUGCCAACUACUACGUGCAGCCCGCUGACGACGACCAGGGGUAGUUUAGGAGGAUCCCAGGCAGCAGGCCUACGCCUCUUUCGAUCUGUAUCCCAGUUUGUGCUAGCCUUCUUAAGGCAAACUUGUUUAACUUAUGUCUAUACUCAUAUAUUGUUGCUUCCGCUGACUCGCCUACGAUCGAGCUCUUGUAUUCGAGCCAUCGAGGCCCCUGGCCGUUAA